rnacentral:misc_RNA from 1 species
AAUGUCUUUAUUUGAUGUAUUUGUACUUACUAUAUAGUUAUGUAUAUUUUAAUUUUAGUUGUAUCUAUCAAUAUAUAAUCAUUUUAUGAACUUUGUAAAUUUUUUAAAAAAAUGUGUAGCGCUAAGCCGUUAUCGUUACAUUGCGGUCGUUAUAGGCCUUUUUUUGUUACCUGCGACCGCGAACGUGGCCGCAACCGUGGUUUAAAACCAUGGUUGUUGAUGCUUUUAGCAUUGAAUGCUCUUUGCUAUCCUGAACUUUUUAAUUGCAGUUACCAUAGUUGUAAUUUGUUUGAGGUGAUAUGUUUAAUAUCAAGCUUUUUAUGGACUAACUGAAGUUUUUUCUUUUAUUGUCUUGCAAUAGGCUACAAGGCUUGUAACACUAUCCUUUGAAAUGCAUUUGGUGUAGUUUUCCUAGUUCAUAUGAUGGACCAUGACGCUACCUUUUUUCAAAUUGUAGAUUCUUACAAGGUCAUGUUGUUAAGUAGAUGCAGUUAAGAUUUCAUGUCAUGCUGAAUGGUUCGGUGACUUAACUGAAUUUUUUUCCCCGCCUUAUGGUGGGCCAUAAUAAAGCUAGUAACACUAUCCGUUGAAAUGCUUUUGUGUAGUUUUCGUAGUUCAUAUAUAUAAUGGACCAUAAUGCUACCUUUUUUAAAAUUGUAAAUUCUUACAAGGCCAUGUUGUUAAGUAGAUGCAGUUAAGAUU